AUAGCUGCUUUGCCUCUGCUCGUGCUGAGUAGCACACCUGCCGUGAGUGACUGACCAACUUGGCCAGGCACAGAGGGCAGGAGGGGAGGGGCCUCGGGGUGCAGGGGGUGACAGGUGAGUUGGGGCAUUUUCCACAGUGCAUGCAUGCUGCAUUUUAUCUGAUGCUCACAGCUACCCUCAGAGAGAACCUGAGGCCCAGAGGAGUUGAGGGACUCCCAUUCAGUUCACCUGUGCUGGGCUUAGGUCCUUGGUGUCCAGGCUGCAGCCAUGGCUGGACCACUUGCUUGCCCUCCAAGGCUUUGGGAGGCUAUAGGGGGUGGCGGGAGGCCUGUGGGCCCAGCAGUCACCUGACCUGGGCUCAAAUCUCAGCCGGGCCAGGGACCAACAGUGUGACCUUGGGUCCUCCUUCGAUGGGAGGUUAAUCAUGCCCACCUCGCCAGGCUGUUGGGAGGCUCAGUGAGAGGCGGCGGAGGCCAUCUCCACCCCUGGAACUCUCAAGGGAGUUCUUGUGACUUUCACAAGUAACUGCUAAGUUGCUGUUGCUGAAUCAAAUUCCUGGAGAGCCAGGAAGUAUGUCUGUGGGUGGGAGAGACGUCUGGCACUUCCAGGGGGGCCCCAAGGCUUCCUUCCCACAUGCCUGCCUCCCCCAGCGCCUGGCAGCCCUUGAGAGGGAAGGUAACAGAGGGGCCCAGAGGGUCUGGAACUUACCAUGCCCCUGCUUCCUGCCCACUGUACCUGUCUGCACCCCUGGUUUCCCUGUCUGCAGUUCUGAGUUCAGUAAACGUGGUUUUACUUUCUUUAUAGCACCUGUCGCCACCCAAACUUCUCUGGAUUAUUGAUUGUAUUGUCACUAUUGUCUGCUUCCUCAUCCCCUCCUAGAGUGGCAGUCAUGGAGCAGGGACUUUGUUCACUGCUUUGUGUUGUUGACUGCUGUAGCUCCUGCACCUAGAGCAGUGCCUGGCACACAGCAGGAGUUCAGUCAGUAUUUGCGGCAGGAAGGAAGGAAGGGACAGAGGGAGGGAGAGAGGGUGGAAAUUGUGGGUCCUCUGUGGUCAGCCCUUUGCUGCAAUUGGGGAUGUUGCCUUAGGUUAGAGCCCAACCCUGCUGACAGAGGCUUCCCCUCCAGUGCCAGAGGCAGACACAGACACAGACAGUGACUGUGGGUGUGACCAGCACUGCGACAGAGGGAAGGAGGCACUCUGGCUGGGGAAGCCAGGGCAGAUGGCAUCUGAUCUGCUUCAAGGAGUAGGCCGGGCUGGCUGGGGGCAGGGGGGUUGGGUGGGGGGCUGGGAAGCCUCAGAGAAGCAUCAGCUGAGAAGACAAGGCAAGGAAGAGUCAGGGGGACAAGGGAGGGGCAGCAUUCCAGGCAGAGAGAGCCGAGUGUGCAAAGGCAGGAAGGCAGGAAGGCUGUGUGGAGUUAGAGGCACCUGCUGCUGUCACUGAGUGCAGUGACUGGGAAGGUAGAGGUUGGUGGUGGGAGGGUCCCCUGAGAGAACGGUAGGGAUCUCACGGAACGCAGCAAAUCCAGGCUGUUUCUCUCCCAGUGCUCAAAGGCUCCUGACUGUGGAGAGCUAAAGCUGCCAGGAGCUGCCUGUGCUUGCCAAGUGGUUGCAGAUGUUUCCUCCCUACUGCUCUGACUUUGCCAGGGUUUGUUGGUGUCUUGGGGUAAGAGGCUCUUCAGGCUGAAAGGUGAGCGGAGGCUGUCAGAAGCUGGGGAGAUCUGGGUCACCCAAAGCAAACAUGAGCCCUUACUCAGAUCUCACAGCAAAGACCACCCCUGGAUCUGUCCAUGCAGAGGCCCAGGUCUCUGGUGAGAAAGGCAGAGGGGAGGAUCAAGCAUGGAAACUGGAGGGGGAAAGAACAGAACUCACAGGGGUAGACCAUUGGCUCUAAGACACCCGCGCUUGGGCCUUAAUGUACAGCUCAGUUAAUCUUCACCUUUGCCCUGAGAGGUUAAAUUAUUAUCCCCAUUUUACAGGGGAGAAAACAAGCUGGGAGAGGAGGAAUGACUUGCUCAUGGUUGUGCAGCUAGUAGAAAAUUCUACCCUCUUGUGGUGGCACCAUUGUUUC
rnacentral:lncRNA from 1 species